UACAGAGGGGGCAAGCGUUAUUCGGAAUUAUUGGGCGUAAAGGGCGCGUAGGCGGCCUGGCAAGUGGAAGGUGAAAUCCCUCGGCUUAACCGAGGAACUGCCCCUCCAAACUGCUUGGCUUGAGUCCGGGAGAGGUGAGUGGAAUUCCCAGUGUAGCGGUGAAAUGCGUAGAUAUUGGGAGGAACACCAAUUGCGAAGGCAGCUUGCUGGGACGGUACUGACGCUGAGGCGCGAAAGCGUGGGGAGCAAACAGG
rnacentral:rRNA from 1 species